GGUCUCUUCGGGAACGCGGGCGCCUCCGUCCCGUAGCUCGUCUCGCGGUCGAAUUCGGGCGACGUCCGCCUUGACGCGUUCCUGAAGAUUACGCCGAGGGUGGGGACGGGGUUGGUGUUGAAUUUUUUUUUCCUCUUUUUUUUUUUUUUUGGGCCGUUGUGGUCGAAUUCGGGGUCUAUAAGAGCUUCGAUUCGUCGCCCUGUCGUGAAGGGGAUUGGGAAUUCAUUUGGAUUUUGGGUUUGAUGGGUAUUCCGGGCGGUUCCCAACAUUAUCAUAUGAACGAAACAGAAUACAGCUCAAUCAGCGAUAGAAUUUCACCGGGCCACUAGGA
rnacentral:lncRNA from 1 species